GUGAAGCUUGAAUUUGACAAGCCAUUAGAACCAGUCUCGAGUUUUCUGAGAUUUAGGGUUUUCUUUAUAUUACGUCACAGCGAUCUACUAGACACAAAACGAACGAAUCUUAACGGAUCAUAUCCACAAGGAAUAUGAAAGAACCAGAUUGAUCUAAGAGGAGAAUGCAAGAAGCUUGGCUUGAAGGAAUCAAUGGAGAUUGGUGAAGAUGAG
rnacentral:lncRNA from 1 species